AAAAAGAAUAAAAAAGGAUGGAAGAAGAAGAAUAGGAAAGUUUUUUAUAUUAAAGUGAAUUAUCAUACAUAUUUAUGUAGAACGAUGAAUUAGGUACACUUAAUUCAGGUCUAUAUUCCUUGCACUUAUUAACUACUUAAUAUUAUUUAUAUUAGAUAUACUUAUCAUAAGAUAUCUUUAAAAUACAAAUAUUAAAUUGGGGCACCCAUUCUAUGACAGAUCUACCCUCUAUUUUUGUGCCUUUAGUGGGCCU
rnacentral:misc_RNA from 1 species